rnacentral:misc_RNA from 1 species
AAGUCGUAACAAGGUUUCCGUAGGUGAACCUGCGGAAGGAUCAUUAUUGAGAUGAGUGUCCGGCUUGCUGGCUCUCAACCCCCCUCUCCCUCUUGUGAACAUUUUAUUGUCUUUAGUUACAUACAAAAUAAAAAACUUUCAACAACGGAUCUCUUGGCUCCG